rnacentral:rRNA from 1 species
GAUAACCCCGGGAAACUGGGGAUAAUACCGGAUAACGCAUAUGUGCUGGAAUGCUUUAUGCGUAAAACGGAUUCGUCCGCCCAAGGAUGGGUCUGCGGCCUAUCAGGUAGUAGUGGGUGUAAUGUACCUACUAGCCAACAACGGGUACGGGUUGUGAGAGCAGGAGCCCGGAGAUGGAUUCUGAGACAUGAAUCCAGGCCCUACGGGGCGCAGCAGGCGCGAAAACUUUACAAUGCGGGAAACCGUGAUAAGGGAACACCGAGUGCCAGCAUCAUAUGCUGGCUGUCCAGAUGUGUAAAGUACAUCUGUUAGCAAGGGCCGGGCAAGACCGGUGCCAGCCGCCGCGGUAACACCGGCGGCCCGAGUGGUGACCGUUAUUAUUGGGUCUAAAGGGUCCGUAGCCGGUUUGGUCAGUCCUCCGGGAAAUCUGAUAGCUUAACUGUUAGGCUUUCGGGGGAUACUGCCAGGCUUGGAACCGGGAGAGGUAAGAGGUACUACAGGGGUAGGAGUGAAAUCUUGUAAUCCCUGUGAGACCACCUGUGGCGAAGGCGUCUUACCGGAACGGGUUCGACGGUGAGGGACGAAAGCUGGGGGCACGAACCGGAUUAGAUACCCGGGUAGUCCCAGCCGUAAACUAUGCUCGCUAGGUGUCAGGCAUGGCGCGACCGUGUCUGGUGCCGCAGGAAGCCGUGAAGCGAGCCACCUGGGAAGUACGGCCGCAAGGCUGAAACUUAAAGGAUUGGCGGGGGAGCACAACAACGGGUGGAGCCUGCGGUUUAAUUGGACUCAACGCCGGACAACUCACCGGGGACGACAGCAAAUGUAGGCCAGGCUGAAGACCUUGCCUGAAUCGCUGAUAGGAGGUGCAU